rnacentral:rRNA from 1 species
UACGAACCGUGCAAACGUUGUUCGGAAUCACUGGGCUUAAAGGGCGCGUAGGCGGGCUAGCCCGUCUGUGGUGAAAGCCUCCAGCUUAACUGGAGAAGUGCCGUGGAUACUGCUGGCCUCGAGGAGGAUAGGGGCAUCUGGAACGGUCGGUGGAGCGGUGAAAUGCGUUGAUAUCGGCCGGAACUCCGGUGGCGAAGGCGAGGUGCUGGGUCGUUUCUGACGCUGAUGCGCGAAAGCCAGGGGAGCAAACGGG